CCAAAUGCCUCGUCAUCUA
rnacentral:snRNA from 1 species